AAAAGCGGAAACGCAACAGUGCACUUUGCCAUCCGGCUAGCAAAGCAGCCCACCAGACAGCCUCUCAGAGUCAAGGAAGCACUAUGAUGCAUGGGCCGAUGGGGCACAAGAGGAAUGAAGAAGCUUCUAGUGAAAGUCAAGGAAGCACCAUGAUGCAUCGGGCAAUGGGGCACAAGAGGAG